rnacentral:tRNA from 1 species
GGGGUCUUAGUAUAAAGGGAUUACAUUCGGCUUGCAACCGAAUAAUAGGGGUUCAAUUCCCCUAGAUUCCACCA